UAACUGUAACCCAUAGUUGAGUGUGUUCUAACUGUAACCCAUAGGUGAGUGUGUUCUAACUGUAACCCAUAGGUGAGUGUGUUCUAACUGUAACCCAUAGGUGAGUGUGUUCUAACUGUAACCCAUAGGUGAGUGUGUUCUAAAUGUAACCCAUAGCUGAGUGUGUUCUAACUGUAACCCAUAGGAGAGGUGGCUUUGUUCUAUCCAGCCUAUUCACAGAUCUGUCAGUGUUAAUGAAAGAAAGGAGACGAGAGAAGGAAAGUAUUCCAAAGUAUUUGGGACACAUCCUCUACUAUGCCCAUGCCAUUCUGCCAUGUAAUUAAUACAGUGUAGGCAUAUGACAUGUUAUUAGUGUAUGGCUGUCAGUACUAACUCCUGUCUGUCAC